GUCUCUUCGGAGACAUCCAACAAAAUUAGAAUGAUAUAGAGAAGAUAGGCAUGGCCUCUACGCAAGGAUG
rnacentral:snRNA from 1 species